rnacentral:lncRNA from 1 species
GGAGGUGGAGCCUAGCACGGCAGUGCUGCUGAACACCAGCUACAGUUCCCUGAGGGUCACCCAGCCAGUCCAUGCCUGCUGCAGAGAGGCCUGGGGCCAGGCUCGCCUGCUGGACAGAGACCCCUCUGGGAGAAGGUGAGUUUCUGGGAGCAGGGGCCUCCCAGCCAGGCCCUCCCAGGCUGUGGUUCUGAUCGAGCCUGCCUCCCCCACUCCCCUGCAGCCCAUUGCAGCUGGCUCAGGCCAGUGGACUGGACCAGAGCUGAAAUCCCGGAGCCCUUCAUGAGUCCCAGACGCUUGGCAGGCCCUACAGCCAGGCCAAGGCACACACGUUUGUUCUAACUGUGGAUCUGGUGUCUGUGGGCAGAGCAUAGGCUGCGAGGGACUCAGGCCGUGUUUGGUCCAGCAGCAGAGACGUUGCCUCGGGGAUGAGGCAGACGGCACCAGAGCUCCCCAGGGCCAGGGCAACAGGGGAAGAGGCAGCAUGCCUGGGGCCUCCAGGAGGCAGACAGGCUGGGCCUGCGGCUGCGCUGACACCCACGUGCCUUUCCAAGGUGCUGACCUGCAGAGGAGCCAGGGGAGCCAUUCGACGGGAGGAGACCCCAUCCAUUCCCUCCUCAAACUGCUCCGUGCAACCUGGGAAUGACUCUGAACUCGUGUGCCCUUGAGGGUGGGAGCAGGGACUGCAGAGGCUCCUGGCUGGGGAAGGACGUCAGUGGCUCUGGUGGCAGAUCGGUUAGAGCCCCGCGGUGGAGACAAGCUGCCGCCCAGAGAAUCGUGCUGCCUCAUGCUCCCAGCAGAGGCGGGCGUGCUGGUGGGAGGAUUCCCCGUUUAUUCCAGACACCCUCCGUGGGCUCAUCUUUUCCACAACACAGCCCAGGAGGGAAGGAAAUCGCAGUUCAUGCUAUAGACACGAAAGAGAUCGUGACAGCUGCGAUACGAAUUCCUAGUUAGCCACCUUGCUGGUCCAGGAAAGACAGCAGAAACAGAAUAAAGGAAAGCUAGAAAGCAAACAAAACAAAGCAAUGUCAAGCCCGCAGUUGGCUGUUGUGAGCUUCUGUGGUGCCAUUGUGAGCUGCGUGGUGCCGUUGUGAGCUUGUGUGGCGCCGUUGGGAGCUGCGCGGUGCCGUUGGGAGCUGUGCGGCGCUGUUGUGAGCUUGUGUGGUGCUGUUGGGAGCUGCGUGGUGCUGUUGGGAGCUGUGCGGCGCUGUUGGGAGCUGUGCGGCGCUGUUGUGAGCUUGUGUGGUGCUGUUGUGAGCUUGUGUGGUGCUAUUGUGAGCUUGUGUAGUGCUAUUGUGAGAUUGCAUUGCAUUGUUGUGAGCUGCAUGGUGCUGUUGGGAGCUGUGUGGUGCUUUUGUGAAGUGCAUGGUUCUGUUGUGAGCUUCAUGUUGCUGUUGUGAGCUUGUGUGCUGUUGUGAGCUUGUGUGGUGCUGUUGUGAGCUGUGUGGUAUGAGCUUGUGUGGGGCUGUUGUGAGCUUGCAUGGCAUUGUUGUGAGCUGCGUGGUACUGUCGUGAGCUGUGUGGUGCUGUUGUGAGCUUGUGUGGUGCUGUCGUGAGCUGCGUGGUACUGUCGUGAGCUUGUGUGGUGCUGUCGUGAGCUGUGUGGUGCUGUUGUGAGCUUGUGUGGUGCUGUUGUGAGCUUGUGUGGUGUUAUUGUGAGCUUGUGUGGUACUGUCAUGAGCUGUGUGGUGUUGUCAUGAGCUGUGUGGCGCUGUUGUGAGCUGUGUGUUGCUGUUGUGAGCUUGUGUGGUGGUGUGAGCUUGUGUCGUGCUGUUGUGAGCUGUGCGGUGUUGUGAGCAUGUUUGGUGCUGUCACGAGCUAUGUGGUGCUAUUGUGAGCUGUGUGGCGCUGUUGUGAGCUUGUGUGGUGCAGUUGUGAGCUGUGUGGUGCUGUCGUGAGCUGUGUGGUGCUGUCGUGAGCUGUGUGGUGCAGUUGUGAGCUGUGUGGUGUUGUCGUGAGCUGUGUGGUGCAGUCGUGAGCUGUGUGGUGCAGUCGUGAGCUGUGUGGUGCAGUCGUGAGCUGUGUGGUGUUGUCGUGAGCUGUGUGGUGCUGUCGUGAGCUGUGUGGUGUUGUCGUGAGCUGUGUGGUGCUGUCGUGAGCUGUGUGGUGUUGUCGUGAGCUGUGUGGUGCAGUUGUGAGCUGUGUGGUGCUGUCGGGAGCUGUGUGGUGUUGUCGUGAGCUGUGUGGUGCAGUUGUGAGCUAUGUGGCGCUGUCGGGAGCUGUGUGGCGCUGUUGUGAACUGUGUGGUGUUGUGAGCUUGUGUGGUGCUGUUGUGAGCUGCGUGGUGCUGUCGUGAGUUUGUGUGGUGUUGUGACUGCCCAGGGUGACGCAGCGUUGACCGAUGAUGAGGCACCUGAUACAGAUAAGUCCUAACAUAUUCCCUGGUGCAAUUUACCAGAAAGGCUGAAAGGCUGGGCCGCACUGCAGGGUCCCUCACCAAGGGAAAAUCUCCCCAGGGCAUGGAUGGGGUUUCCGGCUGUGUCACGUGGCUCCUGCCACCACUCAGUGAAGCCCUAAGGGUCCUCUGGCUUUAGAGUUUGAUAAUUUGCUCCGAUUGCCUCUAACAGAGGGCCUGUCUCCAUCCACCCCAUCACCACAGGUGGGUCAGUCGCUCCAGGUGGGACAGACAUCGGCUGCACAAGGACCACGGCAAAUCUGCCCCCAGGACGCUUCCAAAGAGGGCAGUGGGGUCACUCAGUGCCCGUGAACGCUCAGGGUCACUCAACGUCUGUGAACGCUCAGGCACCAUGCUGAGUAGCCACCAGGUCAGCAGCCCCGGGUGCGGCCCCCAGACAGGAAGGGUGGGCUCCUGCUUUAGCCUGGCAUUGUCUUUGCUUCUGUUCUUCCUUCUGGUGACUUCCACCUUGGAACCUGGGAGCUGGAACGGUGCACACCCCAGUGUUGUCAGAAACAUCCUCCAAAGCCUCCAUACACUGCUCCCCUUGGAAGGACAGGAAGAGGCUCUAUCUCCGACUCCCUGAGGGAUCUCACCCCUGCUGGGCAGCAUUUACCCUAGGGAAGAAUGGACGAUGAGCAGGGGAUGAUGAGCAGGGAAGCAGCUGAAACAUUGGCAAGGCAGAGACCACGGCAGAGGCCACGUCAGAGACCACAGUGGAGGCCAUGUCAGAGACCAUGGCAGACGUCAUGACAGAGGUCAUGCCAGAGAUCCCCUGGGAGCAGAGGGAGUGCCCACCCGCAGGACGUGGGGGAGCAAGGCUGCAGCUGUGGGGAGCACUUGGGCACAUCACAGCGUGGGCAUGGCAGACGAAGACAUGCAGGCCACACGCAGGAAGGCACAAACGCACCGGUCACAGUGUCAGGGGAGCACUGGGUGGUGUCACAAGGGAUGUGAGCUUUUGUCUGUUGUGUGUCUGUAUGUGUGUUUUAACAGUAAGAUUGGGUUCGGGCAAAAUCUAAGGGAAUAAAAAGCAGGGGAGUGGCUGUGUGUGAAUCUGGAGCACAGGUGGCCAUGCAGUGACAUUAAAAUUAGGUCAAAGGAAAGACUAGAGCCAGGGGCGAAGGCGGGAGCGUGGUAGGAAGUGGGGACGGCCUGGCCAAGGCCCCGCCAGACCACAAAGCUCAGGCCCAGACCGCAGAAGGCCGAUAAGAGCGUUCCGGAAAUCAGCUCUGUCUCGGAAAGAGCCAGGCCCAUGGGCUCCUGGCCGUGGGCAACCAAGGCUGAGUCAAAGCCACGUUCUCAAGAGAAUCCAGUGCAAUUAUGCAGAGACUCAUUUAAAAUGACAAGUACUUUUUAAAAGUCACUCUCUGAAAAUGACAUUCAAACCAAUUAUCAUUAAGGGAAGAUGUAAGUUAGCUUUGUUUAAAAAAAAAAGAAGGUGGAGAAGAAUAAAAAUCUGUUUUUAGAUACUUUGUAUGUUGCAGUUUAGAAAUACUCCUGCUGAAUAAAACCUACAGGAAAUGGAAGCAGAGGCGUGUGCAGCCAGCUCAGGAGGGAGGAGGUGAGCUUUGCUUUGCCUGAGUGCUGGUGAGAUUUUGCCACCG